UACGUAGGGUGCAAGCGUUAAUCGGAAUUACUGGGCGUAAAGCGUGCGCAGGCGGUCCGUUAAGACAGAUGUGAAAUCCCCGGGCUUAACCUGGGAACUGCAUUUGUGACUGGCGGACUCGAGUAUGGCAGAGGGGGGUAGAAUUCCACGUGUAGCAGUGAAAUGCGUAGAGAUGUGGAGGAAUACCGAUGGCGAAGGCAGCCCCCUGGGCCAAUACUGACGCUCAUGAC
rnacentral:rRNA from 1 species